ensembl:lncRNA
UUAAUACUUAAGGAAUUUGGUUUUAAAUAUACUUAAGACUUUUGCUCAAGUAGUAUUUUACUGGGUGACUAACUUUUACUUGAGUAAUUUUCUAUUUAGGUAUCUUUUACUUUUACUCAAGUAUGACAAUUAGGUACCUUUCCUCAAGUAUGACAAUUAGGCACUUUUCCUCAGGUACGACAAUUAGGUAUUUUUUCUCAAGUAUGACAAUUAGGUAUUUUUUCUCAAGUAUGACAAUUAGGUACUUUUUCUCAAGUAUGACAAUGAGGUACUUUUUCUCGAAUAUGACAAUUAGGUACUUUUCCUCAAGUAUGACAAUUAGGUACUUUUCCUCAAGUAUGAC